UCUCUCUCUGUUCUGAGUUCUUCAUUUGUUUUAUUUCCACAUUUUAUUGAACAGAUCCAUUAUGUGAGAUCCGCCGAGACCAUAUUUGAGCCAUUUUCUAGCCAUCUCGGUCUCUUCAUCCUCAUUAGACUUAUUGAGAGACACAGAGGAUCAUGUUCUUACAGCGGAAAUAUCUCAUUUCUUGAGCUACCUGUUUGGAGAUUGUCACGGUUUAGGUGGAUCCAGAACUCCUAUAAAGGCAUGUAUUAAAUGGUUGAAAAUAAAGAAAUGUAAAUUAUAUUUCCUGAUUAGUUAGUAAUUCUUUCCAUUUUGUGUUAUGAAAAUAAUAUGAUAUUUUCACAUUUACUUACAAUACCUUAUGCAUUUUGAUAGUUCUGACUUUGCUCUGUCAUAGAAUCAUGUCUGUACUUGGUAAAUAUUUUUAAAAUUUAGUUAAAAUGCAAUCUAACUUAUAAACUCUAUUAUAGUGCCUUUUACCAUUGAUGCUUUCAAUAAUUUGCUUUUAAAUUAGUGUUAGGGCCAUACUUGACAAUAUUUGUUUUCAGGUCGGUAUAACCGUAGGAUCACAUUAAUAUGACCUUAGUUCUCCAACACCAUUCCAAACUUCAUAAGCAUUUGAUCUCAAUCAUGCGGUUAAGUCAAGCAUUCACUUCCUUCAUGCUCUAAAGCCAAGGAACUUGUGGAAACUUGAAAAACUUCAGUUGAAUGAGUCAGGUAUCAAUGAAGAUGAAAGAAGACGACAGUGGAAGUGACGAACUUCAAGAGGACGACGUAGGUUAUGAAUAUCGAGAGGAAGACAUAGGUGAUGAACAUCAAGAGGACGACAUAGGUGAUGAAGAGGAUAAUGGAGAUUGCGAUGAGUUCGACAAACUUAAAUGAGUUGGAUGAUGUUGUUUUAGGCUUUUACUUAUGCAUUAAACUUAAAGAAAAUAUGUACUUUGUCAUUUUGUUAGACUUAUAUCUCUAAGUGUUUAACGUAUAGUAUUAAGUAAUGUUAUACAUUUUUUGUCUAUUGUGUGUAUUCGAUGUUUGGAGAUUUUAUUAACACAACU